rnacentral:rRNA from 1 species
AUUGAACGCUAACGGCGUGCUUAACACAUGCAAGUCGAGCGGCAGCAUGACUGUAGCAAUACAGUUGAUGGCGAGCGGCGGACGGGUGAGUAAUGCAUAGGAAUCUGCCUUGUAGUGGGGGAUAACCCGGGGAAACUCGGGCUAAUACCGCAUAAUCUCUACGGAGCAAAGUGGGGGAUCGUAAGACCUCACGCUAAAAGAUGAGCCUAUGUUGGAUUAGCUAGUUGGUGAGGUAAUGGCUCACCAAGGCGACGAUCCAUAGCUGGUCUGAGAGGAUGCUCAGCCACACUGGGACUGAGACACGGCCCAGACUCCUACGGGAGGCAGCAGUGGGGAAUAUUGGACAAUGGGCGAAAGCCUGAUCCAGCAACGCCGUGUGUGUGAAGAAGGCCUUCGGGUUGUAAAGCACUUUUAGUUGGGAAGAAAAGCUCAUGGGUAAUAUCCAUGAGUGCUGACGUUACCAACAGAAAAAGCACUGGCUAACUCUGAGCCAGCCGCCGCGGUAA